rnacentral:tRNA from 1 species
GGGCUCGUAGCUCAGUCUGGAAGAGCACCGCCCUUGCAAGGCGGGGGCCUCGGGUUCAAAUCCCGACGAGUCCA